ensembl:snRNA U6 U6 spliceosomal RNA
GUGCUUUGGCAGUACAUAUACUAAAAUUAGAACAAUACAGAGAAAAUUAGCAUGGCCCCUCUGCAAGGAUGACACAUAAGCAGACUGGGAAUUUGAUUGGUAUG